rnacentral:rRNA from 1 species
CCUACGGGUGGCAGCAGUGAGGAAUAUUGGUCAAUGGACGAGAGUCUGAACCAGCCAAGUAGCGUGAAGGAUGACUGCACUACGUGUUGUAAACUUCUUUUAUCUGGGAAUAAAAGCGGGUAUGCAUACCCUCUUGUGUGUACCAUAUGAAUAAGGAUCGGCUAACUCCGUGCCAGCAGCCGCGGUAAUACGGAGGAUCCGAGCGUUAUCCGGAUUUAUUGGGUUUAAAGGGAGCGUAGGUGGCUUGUUAAGUCAGUUGUGAAAGUUUGCGGCUCAACCGUAAAAUUGCAGUUGAAACUGGCAGUCUGGAGUACAGUAGAGGUGGGCGGAAUGCGUGGUGUAGCGGUGAAAUGCUUAGAUAUCACGAAGAACUCCGAUUGCGAAGGCAGUUCACUGGACUGCAACUGACACUGAUGCUCGAAAGUGUGGGUAUCAAACAGGAUUAGAUACCCUUGUAGUC